UUUUGGGAAGAAAAAAUCGUAACAAGGUUUCCGUAGGUGAACCUGCGGAAGGAUCAUUAGUGAUUGCCUUUAUAGGCUUAUAACUAUAUCCACUUACACCUGUGAACUGUUCUACUACUUGACGCAAGUCGAGUAUUUUUACAAACAAUGUGUAAUGAACGUCGUUUUAUUAUAACAAAAUAAAACUUUCAACAACGGAUCUCUUGGCUCUCGCAUCGAUGAAGAACGCAGCGAAUUGCGAUAAGUAAUGUGAAUUGCAGAAUUCAGUGAAUCAUCGAAUCUUUGAACGCAGCUUGCGCUCUCUGGUAUUCCGGAGAGCAUGCCUGUUUCAGUGUCAUGAAAUCUCAACCACUAGGGUUUCCUAAUGGAUUGGAUUUGGGCGUCUGCGAUCUCUGAUCGCUCGCCUUAAAAGAGUUAGCAAGUUUGACAUUAAUGUCUGGUGUAAUAAGUUUCACUGGGUCCAUUGUGUUGAAGCGUGCUUCUAAUCGUCCGCAAGGACAAUUACUUUGACUCUGGCCUGAAAUCAGGUAGGACUACCCGCUGAACUUAAGCAUAUCAAAAGCGGGAGGAAA
rnacentral:rRNA from 1 species